rnacentral:rRNA from 1 species
GAUGAACGCUGGCGGCGUGCCUAAUACAUGCAAGUCGAGCGAAUGGAUUAAGAGCUUGCUCUUAUGAAGUUAGCGGCGGACGGGUGAGUAACACGUGGGUAACCUGCCCAUAAGACUGGGAUAACUCCGGGAAACCGGGGCUAAUACCGGAUAACAUUUUGAACCGCAUCGGUCGAAAUUGAAAGGCGGCGUCGGCUGCCACUUACGGAUGGAGCCCGGUCGCAUGAGCUAGUUGGUGAGGUAACGGCCCACCAAGGCAACGAUGCGUAGCCGACCUGAGAGGGUGAUCGGCCACACUGGGACUGAGACACGGCCCAGACUCCUACGGGAGGCAGCAGUAGGGAAUCUUCCGCAAUGGACGAAAGUCUGACGGAGCAACGCCGCGUGAGUGAUGAAGGCUUUCGGGUCGUAAAACUCUGUUGUUAGGGAAGAACAAGUGCUAGUUGAAUAAGCUGGCACCUUGACGGUACCUAACCAGAAAGCCACGGCUAACUACGUGCCAGCAGCCGCAGUAAAAC